UUUACCAAAAACAUAGUUUAUAUUAUUAUAAAUGGGACCUGGUCAGUGAUUAAAAAUAAAUAUUAAUAAAAUUAAUUAAACACACGCCUUAAUCUGAGGGUGAUAAUGUAGCAUAAUAGUUUGGCAUUUAAUUUAUGUCUAGUAUGAAUGGUGAAACAAUUUUAUGAUUGUCUCAAUAAUAAAAUAAUUGAAAUUAAAAAAUAAAUGAAUAAUUUUAUAUAAUUUUAUUAGACGAUAAGACCCUAUAAACCUUUACUAUAAGUUAAAAUUAUUUUAAUUAGGUAGUUUGAUUGGGGCGAUCAUUUUUUAAAAAACAAAUAAUAUUAAAAAUUAAUUUUAAAAUAAAAAUUAUUCUAUUAUAUUAAAAAUUUAAAAUAGAAAGAAAUUUAUGACCAUAUUUUUAUUAAAUAAAAAAUAUACUCUUAAUAAAAGGUACUUUAGGGAUAACAGCGUUAUUUAAAUUAUUAGAAGAUAUAAUAAUUUAAGUUUACGACCUCGAUGUUGAAUUGAAAUUUCCUAUUAAUGUAGAAGUUAUAAGGGUUGGACUGUUCUUCCAUUAAAAUCUUACAUGAUUUGA
rnacentral:rRNA from 1 species